GACGAACGCUGGCGGCGUGCUUAACACAUGCCAGUCGAACGGAAAGGCCCUGCUUUUGUGGGGUGCUCGAGUGGCGAACGGGUGAGUAACACGUGAGUAACCUGCCCUUGACUUUGGGAUAACUUCAGGAAACUGGGGCUAAUACCGGAUAGGAGCUCCUGCUGCAUGGUGGGGGUUGGAAAGUUUCGGCGGUUGGGGAUGGACUCGCGGCUUAUCAGCUUGUAGGUGGGGUAGUGGCUUACCAAGGCUUUGACGGGUAGCCGGCCUGAGAGGGUGACCGGCCACAUUGGGACUGAGAUACGGCCCAGACUCCUACGGGAGGCAGCAGUGGGGAAUAUUGCACAAUGGGCGGAAGCCUGAUGCAGCAACGCCGCGUGCGGGAUGACGGCCUUCGGGUUGUAAACCGCUUUCGCCUGUGACGAAGCGUGAGUGACGGUAAUGGGUAAAGAAGCACCGGCUAACUACGUG
rnacentral:rRNA from 1 species